rnacentral:lncRNA from 1 species
CAUGGGUAUAUAUCAAAAAAGAAAGAAAGGAAAAGUGACCCCAUUAUGCACUUGCUUCUUUGAACUUUAACCUCAUCUUGCAAAUAGGCAGACCUCCUUAUCUGUGAUAAAUCUAAUCAGGAAGUGCUGGAGAUAGUUUUGCAACUAUUUUGCAACACAAUCCUGCAUCUUUCUGCCUCCCUUGAAAACACCAUGUCAUAUCCCUCAAAAUUCAUAACACUUGGGUUAAAAUUUUGAAAAAGCAAAAGAACAAAAUAGAAAUCCAUGAACUGUAUCUACCACAUUCCACCAAGCAAAGACCCUGAUGCCAGAAUGUCUAAAAGCCACUGUUAAUUCCUUCUCUACU